rnacentral:rRNA from 1 species
AACGAACGCUGGCGGCAGGCUUAACACAUGCAAGUCGAGCGCCCCGCCAGGGGAGCGGCAGACGGGUGAGUAACGCGUGGGAAUCUACCCAUCUCUACGGAAUAACACAUGGAAACGUGUGCUAAUACCGUAUACGUCCUUCGGGAGAAAGAUUUAUCGGAGAUGGAUGAGCCCGCGUUGGAUUAGCUAGUUGGUGGGGUAAAGGCCUACCAAGGCGACGAUCUAUCGCUGGUCUGAGAGGAUGAUCAGCCACACUGGGACUGAGACACGGCCCAGACUCCUACGGGAGGCAGCAGUGGGGAAUAUUGGACAAUGGGCGCAAGCCUGAUCCAGCCAUGCCGCGUGAGUGAUGAAGGCCCUAGGGUUGUAAAGCUCUUUCACCGGUGAAGAUAAUGACGGUAACCGGAGAAGAAGCCCCGGCUAACUUCGUGCCAGCCGCCGCGGUAAGAC